AAAUAACUAUAUAUUUGUGAUCGAUCCUUUGAAACCAAACCACAAGGAGGUCAACUCGUUUGGUUUCCGUUUCCCCGAUCAUUCUGAUUCUGACGAAGCCCCAUUCCCAAUUUAUCAAAAUUUGAUAUCCACUUCGCAGGGAAUGGACGCCAUUGAUUCAGUCGUUGAUCCUUUCAGAGUGUUCGCUAAGGAUAGCGUUCGUCUCGUCAAAAGAUGCCACAAGCCUGAUCGCAAUGAAUUCACUAAAGUGGCAUUCCGUACGGCAAUCGGUUUCGUCGUCAUGGGAUUUGUUGGGUUUUUCGUCAAGUUGGUCUUUAUUCUGAUUAACAAUAUAAUCGUCGGAUCUGGAUAGGUAGAUUUCAUGGUGCAAAGGUUUUCAUUCAGAAUGUUUGAGGAAGUUCUUUGGUCGUGAUGUGCAAUGUGAGAUCAGUUCCUUCACUUCUUUGGCAAUAUCUCCUUUUGUAGUUGGAAGUGGUUGUCGGAGGCUCGGAGCCUGAAGUUGGUCACUUGAAGGUGUAUUGGACUUGGUGUUGAAGUUUGUCAUCGGAAGUGGUUUUCGAAUCACGGAGUUGAUCGGGUGAAAGUGGUCGUCGAAGUUGAUCAUCAAAUAUGAAUUUUGCUGGAGAUUGUAGUCGGAGGUGACUGUAGGAGCCCAAAGUUAGUCGCAUGAAGAUGGCAUUAGAGUUGGUUGUCGGAGUUUGUCGUCGAAGUUGCUUGCUCAAAGGUGAUCAUCGAAGGUGAUUUUCAUUGGAGUUUGUAGUCGGAGUCUACGAAGGUGGUUGUCGGAGUUGGUCAUUGUUGUAGGAGCCAAUUGGUUGUUGGAAUUGGUAGCACGAAAUUGGCCGUCGGAGUUGGAUCACCAAAGGUGGUUGUCGGAGUUGGUCACGUGAAGUUUGUCGGAGCUUGGAGUUGGUCGUCGAAGCUAUCAUCGGAGGUGGUUGUUGGAACUCGAACACUACAAAAAUUUUCACUUUUUCCUGUGCAAAAAAACGUUGGGCAAAGUACUAAAAACGUCGAGAUGGGUUAUACCAAUGCAUUUUUUUGCAUCUGGCAUAAUCGUCGCCGUAUCCAUGUCGGGAGAAGUGCCUCCGUCGGCAUAUGUGUUUUCCCAACAAAAUACAAUUUGCAUCGGCAAAAACAUAUUUUUAAACAACAAAAUUUUUCAGUACAAUAGGCAGAUUUCUGCCAACGUUUAUUUGCAUCGGCAUAAGUUGUUUAUUAUUUUAUAUAUUUUUUUGUAACAAACAAAUUACCAAAUUUUUAUUUCCUGAAUACCUAAUUAUGUAGAAACAAAAGUUAAUCUUCAAACAAAUCAUUUGGAGACAAAUAUAACAAAAGUAAGCUUAUAUAUAUAUAAAUAAGACUAAUAUUCAAUAUGCAAGCUAUAAAACUGUGUGCAAUUAAAUUUGAACUUUUCUAGUUUCUUACAAAUUUCCUACACAAAAAAGGUUUAAUCUUCCCUAAGCUAAAAUAUCUUAAACCCAAAUAAGUGAAAUACUAAAUCAAACUAAGUAAUCAUCUCAAAAUCUUCUCGCAAUCUCCAAAAAAAAAAAAUGAUCUUUAAGAAUUACGACUUGAAAUAGGAAAAACAAAUAUCAGGAAAGAUUUCUUAAAAUCAACAACAAAAAAAAGCAUAAAAAAAUCUUAACAAUCACACAAAGACUAAAUAAAAUGUUUAAAAUGAUUAUGAGAAAUGAUCCCCUUCUCAAGUUACAAAUAUGGCGUGAAUAUUCAUAAUCAAAACAUGGACACUACAAACAACCAUUUUAUUAUCUAAAAAGUGAUUAAAAUGGUUAUAAUUAAGAGAUGAACCUCUCCCCCUUUAAACCUCCACAACUACAAAUAAGCUAAGAACAAAGUUUUUUUUAAGGUGUACGUGUAACGUCCCAAAGUUAUUUAAAAAAAAAUAGAGGGAGAAAAUAUUGGUUAUUUUUAGGAAGAGGGGCGUAGGAUUUUAAAAAGGGGCCUUGGAUGCGUGCAUUUUAAAAAGGGGCCUUGGGAUGCGUGCAAAAGGACAAAAACAGAGGGUUUUCUUUUUUUCUUCUCUCUUUUUUCUUCUUCCUCCUCCUCUAGCCCCCCCCCCUGCAGUCGCCAAGUCUCUUCGCCGAGCUCCGCGGUUGACCGCGCGCCUCUCCGUCCACCUCUGUCGUUAGUCGCGCGAGUUCGUUGAUUCUUCUCCGCGCUGUCGCUCGACCUGACGCAGACGAAGUCCGUACUCCGUCUGCCGCUCGACCGACGCAGAUCGCUCCUCGCCAUCAGCCGCGCCGCCGUCGACCGUGGGUUUUCCAGCCGCGUCGGGUUUUUCUCUUCCAAGCGUCGUUCUCGGUCCGCCUGUUGUCAUCAGCGCUGGUAACAGUCGGUUCGUGACAGUCCGGCCAAGCAUUCUGUUGGGGGAACGUGUGUCGGUGAAGGAAGUUCUCGAGCGGAGUAGGGUCUUGUUUUAGGACUGUGAAGUGGUUUACUGUUGGUUGCCCUAUUAGGCCUGCUGAGAAAUAUUUUUCUUUGUUAUAUGUGAAACUGUGAUGAAAUUUGCUAUGGGUUUUGUGCUGAAUUUGAUGUGUUGAAUUUGAGUUAUUCUUACUGUUGGAUGUAAGGAUUAAAGGGAUACUGUGAUAAGGUUAAACAUGGAUAUAAUGUGUUAAGGCCUGAUGUUUGAGUACUGAUGUAUGAGUUAUGAAUAAGUACCUUUGUAUGAGUUAUGAGUAGACUGUGAAACAGUUGAUUGAAGUAUGGGUAACGGUGUUCAAGUUUGAUGC